CAGAUUUUGUAACAGAAAGCCGGACCAAGAUUUGUCCAUUCACGCGCUCUUCGGACUGGGUUGUCUCCGCCAGCUUGAACUACGCGUGUGAUUCACGCACUUCUCCUCUGGAAACCGGCUUCUGGGGGUUUUGUAGAUCGGGGAAAGAUGGUCGUUCUUAGGUUGGUGGCGGCAGCUAAAUUUCAGAUUCAAAAAUUUCAUUCACAUGCUCACCCACUUCCGGCAAGCUUUAUGAGAGAGGCCAAUCAAGUUUUGGAUGGACUUGCUAAGGAAUCAACAAAAUUGAUUCUGUGAGUUUUAUUUUGACACUAGUCUGUGAGAGUUUUAUCUUGUCAAAUCCUUGAUUAUUUUUCUCCCAUCUUUCCCUUCGUUUGUUCAAUCUUUCAUCUUGCGCCUUCAA